rnacentral:lncRNA from 1 species
AUGGUUAUUAAAGCUGCCGUGACCAAAGACUCAUCCCUUGUUCUCUCCGACCCUCGUCCUCUCGCCUUCAAGUCCACUGCAGACCUUUCUUCUUUCCAUCCACCUGGAGUCUCCCUCUGCCCGGCACGCCUGAAGCCUCCACCGCAGCCAGCAGCUGAACCAACGUGGACAUCGUCACGGAGAACGGGCCUGAUCACCCAUCUACUUCUAGCCACCUGGCAGAAAACCGCCAGCUUGACCGCCUCACCCGCUGCUGUCUCAGGGAGGCACAUCCCAGUUGCCCACAUGCAAGGAGGCUGUCAAACAGAGAAAUCACUGCAGACUGUUGGUACACGGACAUCUGUUGCCCAGCUCAGGAGUAAAGGUGAUGGUGAGGACAGCCACAGCUUCCAUCUUGUAGAGGACUGCUUCCGCUCAGUCUUUCCAAAUAGUGAUGAGAACAAGGAUCACCACAUCUCCGUUUUCCCUACUUUCAUGCAUUUCGUCUGCAAGGCCCUGCAAAAGCUUCUGUCCUCAAACCCCCAGACUUCUUAAUUAACUCAGUAACCUAUACAUUGCACAUCGGAGUGUGAAGGUAACAGUUUGUUCUAGCUUUGAAGUAGUGGUGCAUUUUUUUGGUUGACAAUAAAGUUGGCUUUAACUAUUACGUAUUUCA